UACAGAGGUGCCAAGCGUUAGGCGGAAUCACUGGGCUUAAAGCGUGUGUAGGCGGAUCGUUAAGUGUCUUGUGAAAUCCCACGGCUCAACCGUGGAACUGCUUGGUAUACUGCUUGUCUUGUGCAACCUAGGGGCGAGCGGAACAGAUGGUGGAGCGGUGAAAUGCGUAGAUAUCAUCUGGAACGCCAAUGGUGAAAACAGCUCGCUGGGGGUUUGCAGACGCUGAGACACGAAAGCCAGGGGAGCAAACGGG
rnacentral:rRNA from 1 species